GUUAGUCACUUGCCUGUUAUGAGAAGCCAAUGAUUAUGGGAUGUUUCAAGGGCAUUAAAAUUCAUAUAGUUUCUAAAUGUAAAGAAAGUUGAAUGGUAUUUUUACAAACCAAAAACAAUGAAUGAAGACAAACUAAUUAAAUGACAAUCAUGUUCUUUAUGCUACACUAUUGAGAAGCUAGUCCUAAAUUAUUCAAAUGGCUUAA
rnacentral:misc_RNA from 1 species